rnacentral:tRNA from 1 species
CGAGGUGGCUUAAUGGCAAAGCAACACAUUCGUAACGUGUAGAUUGUGGGUUCGAUUCCCACCCUCGG